CUCCUUCAGAACCUCAGCAUGAGUUGGGCAAGAGGCUGAUCCAGGAAACUUGAGCUCAUUCUCCAACCUCUUUGCAAACAAGAGCGUGUUCCUCGACUGCUCGACGUGGCAGUGCGCCGGGCUCAUCGUGCAGAUGAUGGCUGUCCUCGCGUUGCCUCCCAAAGACGACUGCAAUAUGCGAGUGAGCUUGGAGUCUCUGUAGGGGAUAUGGCCGUUUCUCCCUCCGCUGCAUCAAAAGCCAACUAGUUCGUCAGAGAGCUAGGGCUUGUACUUCGAGAAGUAUGGCUUGAAAUUCAACAAACCUGAGCUGGCGAAUGACCUUGCCCAGCGUAAGAAGACUCUUGUUGAUAUGACUGCCCUC